AACCGCUUGUGUGAGGACCUCCUGCCUUAACUGUGUGAAAGCUGGAUUGUAUUUACAGGAUGGAGUGGAAAUAUUUUGAUAUUAGAUCUGACACAUAACAGACCCUGAAAUGUUGGUAGAGUGAAAGAGGGAUCUCUAAACUCUGCAUCCUGGGAACUAUACUGAGACAGCAAUGCAAUGUGUGUGAGAGAGGAAGAGAGAGAGAAAAAAGAAAACCACUAUCUUUCCUGACUGCUUUCCUCUCAAGAUGCCCCCUUACUUCUCUUUAUAAGCU